UUAAAUGAAAUUUUAAUUUAAUUAGAGCAUAAACUAAAUUUUAUAAAUGUUUCACUAUAGUUUUCAAAUAAAUAAAUAAAUGUUUCACUAUAAAUAAUUUUAUUAAUAAAAUUUUUAGUUUAAAUUAAUAAUAAUUUAUAAUAAAUUCAUAAAUUGGGUUAAACUGGAUUGUUAGGUUGCUGUGAAGUUUGUUAAUGGAGAAGCUGAGAUUGUUGGGUGUGCUCACCAAUUGUCAUCGGUUUCUUCAACGUCCCUGAGUUGUUAUUAUAAAUCAUUGUUGCAGGGAAGCUAAUAUGGUAGCUGAUAAGCUGGCUGUUUCUUCGAACACGGGUAUGCGGUUACUUGCUGCUCCUCCUCGCAAUGUUCUUGAGCUUCAUCAUAUGGAUAUGCAGGGAUCUCUUGGCCUAAGGUUGGUGUUUAUGUCUUUUGGGUCUUCCUCCUUCCUCUGAAUCAACAAAAAAAAAAAAAAAUUCAGCAGCCUGAGUUCCUGAUGCACCGACUGAAGAAGCACAAAGGGGACACGCCUAUUUCACCGUCAAAUUCUGAAGACGAUGACUUGGAAACCUCGGAAGCGAAACGGCGGCGGCGGCGGAAAGACCGGCGAAGUAGCUAUGGGAGCUCGGUGAGAGAGAGAGAGAGAGAGAGAGGAGAGAGGAGAAGUUAAGAAAGAGGAAAGAAAGAAAGAGAAGGGAAUCAAGGAAGAAUAAGGAUUAGGACUCAAAAGUUGAUUUUGGAUCUGGCUCGGACUCUGGUUCUGGGUUUGACACAGAGGAGCCCGCAGAGACAGCGAGUCACGCCAGAAGAUGUAGUGAAUGAGAUCUUGAUGGAGUUUCCCGAUGUUGGAGGUGACCUGAAGCAGCUUAUCCAAAUGAUCGGCGUGGCCAAGCUGUUGACGUAUAUGUGGUAUCUCUGAGAGUUCUUUAAUCAAGCAUCUGUAGAAGCUUUUAAAUAAUUUCGUUGAACCCCAAAAAAAUGGAGAAGAGUUUUUUUGCUGCCUUCAAAUGAUCGUCCUAUUCUGGAGCUUGUUGGACCCCUCAUUCAGACCCAUAUAAAAUCUAGAGAGCAACAGCUUGAUGAUUUGCAGAAUGUAAACAACUUUCAGAUGACAACAACUUGGCAAUGCCAUCACCAUGAGAUGAUGCUUUUGCUCCAAGAAGAAGUGAAAAUUGCAGGAUGCAAAAAUUAAACUCAAAAAGGAACAGGAACAAUUUAAGGUUGAGUUGAAAGCUAUGCGUGACACUGCACAUUGGAGAAGACACAAGGUACUUAUGUAGGUAGUUUUCUAUUUUAAAAUGUCCUGCCCCUCUCCUUGUGCAAGGGCUGGGGAGGUAGGUUAGAUUUGAUGUUGUAGUUGAACUGGGUUCACUUUUUUCUUUCCAAGAAAAAUAUUAUAAUCCAAUUUAUUUGCGGAACUGGACCAUAGCAAUAGGCCAGAGAUAACAAUAUAUAUAAUUGUCAUUUUGAGUAAAUAUUAGUGCACAUAAAUAGUUGAGAUUGAAUUCUUAUUGAGAAAAUUAUGCAAAGUAUUUACUAAUCAACAAUAUUUGUGAGCCCAUGUUUGUUUUGGAGGGCCAGCACAUACUAAUCUUGUCUUGGUCCAAUAUUGCUGGCUGUGUUGUGGAGAAGGCAGUCAUUAAACUCUUAAGGUGGUCCAUGAUGUGCACAUGAUUAACUCGAUGAUGCAAUACAUUCUUUGUUGAAAACUGAAAUGAAAUUUCUAUGUCUUGGUCAUGUGCCUACGUCAUGUCAAACAGUAGCUGUGCUAUUUUGGACGUUUUCUUUGAUUCAAUGUUGCAGCAUGAUAAUUUUAGCACUAAUAGUUCUUAUUGGUCAGACAUUAUGAAAAGCUAUUUCAGAUACGCAUUAGGCAUAUAUGAAUAGCCAAUUUAUAUAGACAUUGCAAACCGUCAACAAAAUGCAUUUGUAUAGCCAGCUUCAGGUCCUUGAGUGGUAGCGUCUGCAGAUACUUUUUAUUUCAAAAUGAUUUUCAGAACCCUCCCUCUUCCCCAGUGCAGGCCUGAGACCAACGUAUAUAUGUGUGUUUGAUUAGUGUCAAUCCUUCAUAAUAUGUUAAAGCACUUCCCAUCUAAACAUUAAAAAAAAACUUUUGGUCUGGCGGGGAGGUUGAUGAUGAGCUCCUGGCAGAAAUUGAAGUUAUAGCCCCAAAAAGAGAUGAAUGGAUGACAACAGGGCCUCUUAAAAGGAAAGUAAGGCUUUCCCAUGCUACCUUUUCUUGCUUCUCUUGCACAUGUUGUACUUUCACUUGGGAACUAUGAUCUUGCACUAAGUGAAGGUUUUUAGAUACUGUGAUUCUCUUACAACAUAAAUCCUAACUUGUUUUUAUUAUUCUCAGCCAGGCAUGACCAUGCAAUCUUCAGGAUUCAGCAAUAGCACUAGAGAAGGACAUGGUGACACUAGUGUUUGGACACAGCCCAAAAAGCAAAGAUGAAUUACUUGGAAGCAUAUAAUGAGGCUGCAGCACUUGCACCAAGUGAAGAAAAGAAAAGGCAGUUUUAAAACU